rnacentral:lncRNA from 12 species
GGCCAGCGUGCAGGCGCUGUGCUAAGCCCCUGGGAGAACACCAGGCAGCUCGCACAGCCUGGAGCGGAGCUGAGGAUCCUCUUAAUCUCCCAGGCCAAUUCCAAUUGAUUGGUAGUGUCUGCCUGGAGCUCUGGGUCGGAAGGGAUUUGGCAUGUGCCCCAAUUGAUUAGUGAUGUCUGCCAAGGGCUCAGCUGGGAGCCUCUAUGGCAGACCUGCUGGGUAGCUGCUCUUGGGAUGAGGAUGGAGUCUGUGCGUUCAGUUCUGGACAUCUGAGGUGGUCUAGCUGGCCGGGUGGCGGCUGGGGGGAGGGGUGGAGGGGCGGAGAGGGUCCCUUCCUGGAUGGCUGUGGGGUGAUGACUUCAAUAGGCUGGGCGGAAUGGUCCUGCCCCUGCCCUUCGCUUGGCCGGUGAAUGUGAUACCCCCUGGUGAGCACGGUCCCCUUUUGGCCCACCACCACUCAGCCAGAGCCCCCCUGCCUCGAAGGCCCUGAGGCUGGCUGGACCCUGUGGGACAGGGACUCCGUGGGACAGAUGGCUCUAGUAGUGCCCAGUGCAUCCACCUUGCUCGCUUCAAUGUCCGCGCUGUCUUAGCAGGUGCUUGAUACAUUUUAUUUUGAGUGUGGCAGGAAUGAUGGUUCCCGAGUUCCCACUUCUGGAAAGGGGGCCGCCCCUAGGAUCUUCUCAGAGAGACUUAGAAAAAACAGACACCUGUACUGCCAUGUUCAUAGCAGCAUGAGUCACGGAGUUAUAAUGUGGAAAGAGUCCAUGUGUCCACCGACAGAUGGACGGACGGACGGACAAUUGGACAUGAUGUGGUUGGCCUAUCGGAACAACAGAAUAUUAGUUGGCCUUCAAAAGGGAGGUGAUGUUGCCUCCUGCUGCCUCCUCGGGCAAAGCCCAGAGGACAUGGUCUAAGCCAGGGAGGCCAGUCACAAAAGAACAAGUCCUGUGUGAUCCCACUGGUGUGGGGGACCUGGGGUCAUCCGGGGUAGAGGGUGGGACCAGGGGUCAACGGGGACAGGAUCUCAGUUUCGCAGGAAGGAAAGAGGUCUGGAGAUGGACGGCGUGAAUGUACUUUGUGCUGCUGAACCGUGCACUUAAGAGUGGUCAGGAUGGCCAAUUUUACAUGAUCUGUAUUUUACCACAAUAAAAAAUAUCAGAAAAAAACCCCGACA